GCGCCCGGCUCGGGUGUGCGGCCGCCCCGCGGGUCCUCCCCGCGCUGGGGGUCGCUCCCGGGCCGGGGGUCGCUUCCGGGCUGGGGGUA
rnacentral:tRNA from 1 species